UACGUAGGGAGCAAGCGUUGUCCGGAAUCAUUGGGCGUAAAGCGCGCGUAGGCGGCCCGGUAAGUCCGCUCUGAAAGUCCAGGGCUCAACCCUGGAAAGCGGGUGGAUACUGCCGGGCUAGAAUCCGGAAGAGGCGAGUGGAAUUCCUGGUGUAGCGGUGGAAUGCGCAGAUAUCAGGAGGAACACCAAUAGCGAAGGCAGCUCGCUGGGACGGUAUUGACGCUAAGGCGCGAAAGCGUGGGGAGCGAACAGG
rnacentral:rRNA from 1 species